UAACAAAUUUAAGUUUAUUCGCAAAGUAGGCAAAAUAAUAACCUAGAUUCAAAUUUAACCCGUUGAUAUUGUUAAUAACAUAACCGUACACCCGACCACUAACACGGAUGCACAAAUACACCUAAAUAGGAAAACUAUAACAACACCUAUUUAGGGCCAAUAAGUUAGUUCAUCCAUUAUAUAGAUUUAUAGGUUAUAGGAUGGUUAUAGGUUAUUUUAUCCCAACACCAGCACGAUGUCUCAUAUUGUCCAUAAAACGUCAUCAUGAAGCGUAGAAUAAUCAUAAAAAGAAAAACACACCUGUCAAAUCAUACGAAACGUAAUCUGUGUACAGGAGAAUUAGAGGUUAUAAUUUUUCAUGUACAGUCACAAUGUUGUUGUAAAAUAAAACACAUAGUAUUCAUUUAUCAAGUUUAUUGUUAAAUUUGUUAAUAAAUCUAACAAACAUAACCAGUACAAUGAAAUUAAAAUGUCAAAGAACACAUAAUAAGAGAGACACAGUUGAAACAUAAAGAACAAUGUUCAUCCGACCGAUAAAAUAAGAUCACAAAGUAUAUGUAAAAAUUCUCCUGCUGAGGGGGGAGAAUGUAACGAGCCGUUACCAAACCAUCCACCGCACCUACCCACAUUCCGAAGCCGCAAGAGCGCCCGCAAGACGAGGUGGGGCACCACACAGACGACUCCGGAGAAUACAAGGGGCGCGGGGCGACCCGCCUAUAAAUAGCCGCCGGACCGCCGCCCGGCCACCAUUCGUCACCUCCUGCUCCGACGAGUGACCAGUCCGCUCCCGAGAUCCUUCCCCGCACCUAUAUCUAUCUUAAGUAUCUAUUCACGCAUACUAAGCUCACAACACCGUCCUCCCUACGCUGUGGGUCGCCUACUAGCGGAUCGAGGUUCCCCGGAAUACACGGACGCCUGGGUCGCCUAGGUUAAGCGGCCGUGUACCGAACUAUACAAUCGCUGAACACACACCGGCCCUCAGCCGCACUUUCUUAUCAACACAAAUACACUCCACAAAUCCUGGAACAAACCGACACGCACCACCAGUAUUCGCCCGACCUCCUGUACCCUAUAUUCCUUCCCCUUAUUAGGAUAUAUAGAAACGUCCGCGUAGGCCCCUUCAGGGCCCGAUCAAUUUAAAUUUCGAUAACUGUGACAAGUAUUUGUGCAUUUGUGUAGUGUGUUUAAUAUUAAGUACAUAAGCUGUAAGUACCCUAGAUAUAUAAGUAAGUGGUUGUAAAUAAAGCGGGUCCAGUGCCGCCUCAAUUGUGUUACACUAAUUAA